UAAAGGACAGAAAACCAGAAAUAAUUUUCAAAUCCCUAAUUUUCAAUGACUCUCUGCGACGGGUGAUGGCAACCGACUUCAUCUCGGCACAACCUCCUCUGAUCCGGCGACCACAACACAUAUUCCUUCUUCCUCUUAAAUCCUCUCCUUUCAGUUCCCGUUUUCUUCUCCGAUUCGGAGACCACGACCUACUUCACGGAUUCAUCUCACCAUUCUUCUUCCCAUAAAUCAUCUCGGCACAGCUCCAUCUUCUUCCCGUAAUCAAGUUGAGUCUCAGUAAGUUUAGUCACUGAUUAGUUGAUUCAAUAUUAUGGUAGUUUUGCAGGUAGUUAAUGGGUUAUAGACUGAAGCUCUGCUUUGUUUCUUAACGACAGUUCACACUUUCUUGAAUCGAUUUUGUAAUGAGAAGAUCUCAAACAGAAAUUUUAAGUAUUUCUCGGCUGGUCAAUGCAACAACAACGCUAACAUUGAUUUGCACCCAGGAUUGGCUUCGUGCAGACUCACGCUCAGUUUCAGUUAAGGAAGGAGAUUGACAAAAUUGAUGAUACGCUGCUUGCUGUGAAUCUAGUGACUUUCAAUUUCAUUUAUAUGCUAGUUCUUCCGUUUGAAUGAUUAAAUUCACAUGUUUUGGAAAUUGGGUUUGCUUUUUCUUAUGAAGCUACAAGUUGUGUCCUUUCUGCAGGAGGUGACGUCGAUUCUUCUAGCAGAGGGAGUCUCGACAGACAAAAUACUGACGAACUUUUGAACCUGAGAUUGGUCUUGAUGGCAGUUUCCGGGGCUUUCGUUGUUGUAACAAUAGUUGUUCUUCAACAAUUAAAGAGAUGACGGGUUUUUAUUGUGUUUGAAUUUGCAUUUAAAUAGAUUAAUUGAUUUGAUUUUAGCGGUUUGCGGUUGAGCGGUUUAAACCGCACCGAAACCGCAAAUUGACGCGGAGCGAUCAGGCCGCACCAAUACUUUAGGCGGAGCGAUUUUUUAUAUGGUUACGGUGCGAUUUUUUACAUCGUAAUGGUGCGGUGCGGUCGGUCCACACUCUGCCCACCCUUAGAUGGAAGGACAUAUUCCAACAUCCAGAACGAGUCCAUGAAGAAGCCUGAGAAGCAGGAAAUCUGAAUGUCUUGGUGCUAGAAAGCUCACUAGAAAGGUGAAGGAAAGAACAUCUUCUUACUCUGUUUUUAUUCCUCAUAUCCAUGCAUCUAUCUAUUAAUUCCAAUUCAUUCAUAAAUUUUCACCCAGAAAUAACAAUUUGCAGCUCGAUGGAUCUGUCUACGGUCAGAAGCCUCAAAGUCAUUAAAAGUAGGGCAAGUAAGUAAUGGAACUUGGUUGAUGCCUUGAUUUAAUCUGGUGGUGGUGGAUAUAUAUCUAUAUAUAGCUUGCUAAUUAGAUGUAAUUAACUUAAACGUCAGUCAGUGAGUCAGUGAGAUGAUAUAUUUAGCUAGCUUAGCUACUUGAUGAUGAUUCAUUUGUAUCAACUGCAAUAUAUAAACAUGAUAGAUACUACUUUUCUGUCAUCAGAUCCAAGAGACCUAUCAGGCUAGAAGGGGGUUCCGAGAUGUCAAGUUGAUUUCAUCGUCCCAAUUUUCCUCCUCGUGGAAAUGGUAUAUAUGUAUGUCUGAUUAUUUUGUAAUUGUAGGAGAGACAUAUUUCUGAACUCCAGUUCACUGUUUGUACUUUAUUUGACCAACGGAACUGAAUACGGACAACCAAUAACCAAGAGAACUCUCCAAUCGAAAACAAAGAACAACAGAGGAAAAAGACCACAAUAAGAACAUCAAAAGCAAAGCUAUGGUAAAAGCUACUAAUUUUUCACGUUAGCCUUUCUCUAAUUUCCUGGCCUCUAAUGAUAUGAUCUACAAUAAAGAAGAAAGGAUUAUUUUUGUGACUCUAUAUUUGAAGUAUAUCAUAAUUAAGUUACACUAUCGAGUCAAUUAACGAGGAUAAGGUUACACUAUCGAGUCAAUUAACGAAGAUAAGAUUUGAG
rnacentral:lncRNA from 1 species